UCUAAUAUGGCAGAUUAGUGCAAUGAAUUUAAGAUUCAUAUAUAAAUAAAUAAUAUUUUAUUAGAA
rnacentral:tRNA from 1 species